GACGAACGCUGGCGGCGUGCCUAAUACAUGCAAGUCGAACGCAGUGGGGACGGGUGAGGAACACGUGGGUAACCUCCCAUCAGAGGGGAUAACACGUGGAAACAAGUGCUAAACCGAUACUGAUGGAUGAACCCGCGGUGAGUUAGCUAGUUGGGGAGGUAACGGCUCACCAGGGCCACGAUGCAUAGCCGACCGGGAAGGGAGAUCGGCCACACUGGGACUGAGCCACGGCCCAGACUCCUACGGAAGGCAGCCGUGGGGAAUCUUCGGCAAUGGGCGAAAGCCGGACCGGGCAAUGCCGCUUGAGUGAAGAAGGUUUUCGGAUGGUAAAACUCUGUUGUUAGAGAAGCGGUAUCUAACCAGAAAGCCACGGCUAACUACGUGCCAGCAGCCGCGGUAAUUC
rnacentral:rRNA from 1 species